rnacentral:rRNA from 1 species
CAGUAGCCACGGUAAAACGAAGGGUGCAAGCGUUACUCGGAAUUACUGGGCGUAAAGCGUGCGUAGGUGGUGGUUUAAGUCCGUUGUGAAAGCCCUGGGCUCAACCUGGGAAUUGCAGUGGAUACUGGGUCACUAGAGUGUGGUAGAGGAUAGUGGAAUUUCCGGUGUAGCAGUGAAAUGCGUAGAGAUCGGAAGGAACAUCUGUGGCGAAGGCGACUAUCUGGGCCAACACUGACACUGAGGCACGAAAGCGUGGGGAGCAAACAGGAUUAGAUACCCCUGUAGUCCCUGUCUCUUAUAA